rnacentral:rRNA from 1 species
AUUGAACGCUGGCGGCAGGCCUAACACAUGCAAGUCGAGCGGAUGAAGGGAGCUUGCUCCUGGAUUCAGCGGCGGACGGGUGAGUAAUGCCUAGGAAUCUGCCUGGUAGUGGGGGAUAACGUCCGGAAACGGGCGCUAAUACCGCAUACGUCCUGAGGGAGGAAGUGGGGGAUCUUCGGACCUCACGCUAUCAGAUGAGCCUAGGUCGGAUUAGCUAGUUGGUGGGGUAAAGGCCUACCAAGGCGACGACCCGUAACUGGUCUGAGAGGAUGAUCAGUCACACUGGAACUGAGACACGGUCCAGACUCCUACGGGAGGCAGCAGUGGGGAAUAUUGGACAAUGGGCGAAAGCCUGAUCCAGCCAUGCCGCGUGUGUGAAGAAGGUCUUCGGAUUGUAAAGCACUUUAAGUUGGGAGGAAGGGCAGUAAGUUAAUACCUUGCUGUUUUGACGUUACCAACAGAAUAAGCACCGGCUAACUUCGUG